rnacentral:rRNA from 1 species
UACGGGGGGGGCUAGCGUUGUUCGGAAUUACUGGGCGUAAAGGGCUCGUAGGCGGCCAUCUUAGUCAGACGUGAAAUCCCUCGGCUCAACCGGGGAACUGCGUCUGAUACUGGAUGGCUCGAAUCCGGGAGAGGGAUGCGGAAUUCCAGGUGUAGCGGUGAAAUGCGUAGAUAUCUGGAGGAACACCGGUGGCGAAGGCGGCAUCCUGGACCGGUAUUGACGCUGAUGAGCGAAAGCCAGGGGAG